CAUGCAAGUCGAGCGAGCGGAACCAACAGAUUUACUUCGGUAAUGACGUUGGGAAAGCGAGCGGCGGAUGGGUGAGUAACACGUGGGGAACCUGCCCCUAAGUCUGGGAUACCAUUUGGAAACAGGUGCUAAUACCGGAUAAUAAAGCAGAUCGCAUGAUCAGCUUUUGAAAGGCGGCGUAAGCUGUCGCUAAGGGAUGGCCCCGCGGUGCAUUAGCUAGUUGGUAAGGUAACGGCUUACCAAGGCGACGAUGCAUAGCCGAGUUGAGAGACUGAUCGGCCACAUUGGGACUGAGACACGGCCCAAACUCCUACGGGAGGCAGCAGUAGGGAAUCUUCCACAAUGGACGCAAGUCUGAUGGAGCAACGCCGCGUGAGUGAAGAAGGUUUUCGGAUCGUAAAGCUCUGUUGUUGAAGAAGAACGUGCGUGAGAGUAACUGUUCACGCAGUGACGGNAUUCAACCAGAAAGUCACGGCUAACUAC
rnacentral:rRNA from 1 species